AGGACGAACGCUGGCGGCGUGCUUAAUACAUGCAAGUCGAACGAGAAGCCACUUCUCCGUAAGGAGAAGUGGUGGACAGUGGCGAACGGGUGAGUAACACGUGGGUAACGUGCCCUGGACUCUGGGAUAACAGUGGGAAACCGCUGCUAAUACCGGACUAACCCCUACCUGUCGCAUGAUAGGUAGGGCAAAGCUCCGGCGGUCCGGAUCCGGCCCGCGGUGUAUCAGUCUUGGUUGGUGGGGU
rnacentral:rRNA from 1 species